rnacentral:rRNA from 1 species
AGUGAACGCUGGCGGUAGGCCUAACACAUGCAAGUCGAACGGCAGCACAGUAAGAGCUUGCUCUUACGGGUGGCGAGUGGCGGACGGGUGAGGAAUACAUCGGAAUCUACUUUUUCGUGGGGGAUAACGUAGGGAAACUUACGCUAAUACCGCAUACGACCUACGGGUGAAAGCAGGGGAUCUUCGGACCUUGCGCGAUUGAAUGAGCCGAUGUCGGAUUAGCUAGUUGGCGGGUUAAAGGCCCACCAAGGCGACGAUCCGUAGCUGGUCUGAGAGGAUGAUAAGCCACACUGGAACUGAGACACGGUCAAGACUCCUACGGGAGGCAGCAGUGGGGAAUAUUGGACAAUGGGGGCAAGCCUGAUCCAGCCAUACCGCGUGGGUGAAGAAGGCCUUCGGGUUGUAAAGACCUUUUGUUGGGAAAGAAAAGCAGCAGGUUAAUACCCAGCUGUUCUGACGGUACCCAAAGAAUAAGCACCGGCUAACUUCGUG